AGCAGCCGUGGUAAUUCUAGCUCCAAUAGCGUAUAUUAAAGUUGUUGCUCGUAGUUGAAUUUUGGGAUCUAUCCAUCGGUCGGGCCUCACAGUCCGCACUGGUGUGAUGGAUUCCUACUUUCUGAACAACCGGUAUGCCAUUAAUUUGAUGUGCCGGGGAAGCAGAACCAUUACCUUGAAAAAAUUAGAGUGCUCAAAACAGGCUUGUGCCUAAAUACAUUAGCAUGGAAUAAUAAAAUAGGACGGAAUGGUUCUAUUUUGUUGGUUUCUAGGAUCACCGUAAUGAUUAAUAGGGAUAGUUGGG
rnacentral:rRNA from 1 species